UUUGAAUUGAGGGUCCUCAACUGAUCUUUGCUUUUAAAUACUCUGGAUCUAUACCCUGGAUCUAUCGAUCCGCGACUCAAUGACUGAACACAGCAAACUGUAGUGCAGCAUAUACUUUGAUGUAAAUUUCCAUUGACUUGGAUCCGCCAAAGCGUGUCCACCAUCUACUUUCUUUUUUGCUAUUUCGGGCUGGUUUAUCGAAAAUGAAAGUUGGUUUUUAAUUUAUUUAUCAGUCCCAGUCAAUGACCAUGUGAGCCCAAGACAGAAACGCACGUAACAACAAACCUAGCCGUUAUCUUUUUCUAGUUCAAGGACAAAUCAUUCAUUCUUGUUCAUUCUAGACAGGCGUAUUUCGAGAACAAAAUGGAGCUGAGCAAUUGGUUUGCCACAUUGUUGCGAGGUCUGCUAUUACUGCCAUUCAUUGCAAUGUCCGUGGCUAGAGAUGUACUUGGGAUGUUUAUUCCGGGACUUAAACCAGGCCCAGAAUCUAAACAGAAGCGAUACACCUUCAGCAAAGACUAAUCCAAUUCUCAAUAGUCCACCUCAAUAAUCAUUAUUUUCUUGCAAUGAUAGACUGCCUAUGAACAAACUGUACAUCCAAAACUGAAUUAUUUGUGCUUCUAUAAAUGACUGUUAAAAUGUAGAAAUUAAGAGAGCAUUUAUAAUAUACACAAGUAAUCCAUUGUAUUUUGAUAACGAUAAACAAAUGUAAGCAUAUAAUUUUGUAUGCGGAAUUGGAAUCUGCCAUAUUAAAAACAAACUAAACACAAA